AGGCUGCUCUUCCACCUUCCAUGAUGACAUUCUAAUAUUCUCCUAGCCCCUUCCUCACAUUCUGCAGGGUUACCAUAGAGACAGCAAGAAACAGCUUUGCAUCAUCGCUAUUCCGUUGCUCAUUUCUUACCGCUUGGCCAGUAAGCAGUGUGAGGGGUGCUCUCAGCUUAGAUAUUUGUGUGUUUUCUGUCAGCAUUCUUAUCAACAUGGCAGGUAGGAAAUUGUGCCAUCUAGAUGUUCACCUGUUCUGCUUCAUUGUCCCAUGAAGCAGACAGAAAAGCCAGCUGAGAAGGUAAGGAUUUAUAGCUGGGGAAUGGAUGAAAUCUUUGGAUAACUUAAAGAGAAAAGCAGAUUCCCUUAAAAAGCCACCGGGCACCCUCUACCCAUUAGUCAAGGUCCCAGUACCCCCCAUGGGGUUUAGAUAAGCCAUGACUAAGGCACAUUCAAUGGCCUUCAGUGGGACUUAGUCUUGAAUGUAUCUUUCACUGGAUGUGCCUCAGAUAAAGUCUGAGGCUCUUUCAAGAUCACAUAUUUAUUUUUGGUACUACAUUGCGCUUGUCCAAAGCAGCUUACGAACCAAGAGUUUCGAGGGAACAACAACACAAAACAUCAGUUUGGGAGGAAAAACAGAUAAAUAAGUAAAUAUCCAUAAAAGAUCCACAUUGAUCCAGAACCAAAAGCUGUUUGGUUAGAUUCUGCUCUUGUUUGAGAGCCUGAGACAGUAAUUGUUCUUUAGAGGAAUGAUGAUUUUUGUUGCUGUUGUAAUCCCUAUCUCAACAAAUUAUAGAAACAGAUGAGUUUAACAGGUUUAGUCGGGGCUUGUGAGUUCACUAGAUGUCCAGAUUAACGCGGUCAGAUUUGGGAGAUGCCAACCAGGGGAAGAGCGUAUGGUAGAGCUUGUUACUCUUCCCCAACGGACGUUGUUUCUAUCCUGGCACCUUCAAUUCCGCCCAACUGCCUUUUGCAUCAUAACAUUCUCUGGCCAGUUUGAAUCUUGGAGGUCACCGUGGUGACAGCAGGAAACAGGCUCAUAUGACGCCACUUCCCUGGGCUCCCAGGAUGGGAUGCUGCCCUGAAUUAAGACUGAGCGCGGCGCACGAACGGACAUGCCCACCUGGACCCCUUGGUCGGCCCCCAUCAUCUGGGAAGGAACAGUUGGGAGACCGGUCUUGGACAACUACGACAAGCAGCAGAAAACCAAGGUGUUAUUCCCCCGAGUACUGCUGGGAUUAUAAAAUUGGCAUUCCCAAUUUUAUAAGCGAGGUAAGAAAUGUCAAGUUAUCCUGGAUGCCAAAAGAAUAUGAAAAUAACUUAUGACUCCGCGGCCCUAUUGAAAAUCACAUCAGCAACUAAACUGAUGGCAGAACUGUUUGAUCAUUUAAGCACAGACUCUUGUUCUCUGUGGGAAGGAGAGCAAACUUUACCAACCCUUUAUCCCUGACAAAAUGUUUCCUGUGGUGUUGCAUAGCUGUGCCGGAGAUUUUUAAAGAAGCAAGUUCCUUCCGUGUGCACCUAGAAAGAGACACCCUUCCCUCUGUGUCAAAGCUGAGAGGUUUCCUGGAGCUGUUACUUCAGAGGGCUGGGUGUCUGGCAAUAUGGAGGGCAAAGGUGGUGGGUCAGGUAGGGUGGGACCCCUGCCACCAAUGCUGGGCAGGGGUCUCCAGUGGGUGGGGAGGGAAAGGUGAGAGAGGGGUGCCCACCCAUAUGGAUGCGAGUCAGAUGUUAACGGCUUGGGGUAAUCCACAUGGGUGAGCAGGGAGAGGGGUGCCAGCCUCUGCCCAAAUUGGGCUGCUGGCUUCAGCAGGGAGGGGGCUGGGGAGGGGGCAUCAGCCGAAAGAAGUUUUGGAGUGUUUUUUAGGCCUUUCCUCCAGGGUUAUUUUGUUCCCUCGGAUGCCUCAGAUGCCCCCUUUCUCUGCUUUUGGGGCUUCCUUUUGGGGCUUUUGUAUUUUUUUUCUUGGGGGGUUCUCUUUUGGGGGGGUUAGGUAUGCUUAUCCCCUUUAUGGCCAGGUCUCCCCUAUCUUGCUUCCCACGGGUGGGCGGGCUUUGUUGGAUUCCUUUAGGGAUAGGUUCCAGGGUCUUCCUCCAUCUCAGGCGUUCACCCAAGUCUGGAAGAAAAGAAAUGGAGGUACAAUCCUUAUUUUCAAUGCAACUAGUUUGUCCAUAAUGGAGAGUCUUCAUUUAUUCCAACGUAUGAUAUCCAUAUUUAGAGCUUUCAAAACCGUACUAUAAUUAAACUGAUACAACUUGUUCAAUUUCGGGGUAAUUUAUACCACCAGAUAUCUAAGACUUUUCCUAGCUAUUGGAUGAUGAAUGAGGAAGUGGGGGGGGCACAUUCACACAGGACAACACCAUUAUCCAAGAGGAUGGGAUCUAUAGCCUCUCUCUGUAAAUUUUGAAAUAAAAAAUUACUGUAAGUAA